rnacentral:rRNA from 1 species
UGUGCCAGCCGCCGCGGUAAUACGUAGGGCGCAAGCGUUAUCCGGAUUUAUUGGGCGUAAAGGGCUCGUAGGCGGCUCGUCGCGUCCGGUGUGAAAGUCCAUCGCUUAACGGUGGAUCUGCGCCGGGUACGGGCGGGCUGGAGUGCGGUAGGGGAGACUGGAAUUCCCGGUGUAACGGUGGAAUGUGUAGAUAUCGGGAAGAACACCGAUGGCGAAGGCAGGUCUCUGGGCCGUCACUGACGCUGAGGAGCGAAAGCGUGGGGAGCGAACAGGAUUA